UAUAUACUCCCUCCGUCUGGAAAUACUUGUCAUUGAAAUGGAUGUAUCUAGAUGUAUUUUAGUUGUAGAUACAUCCAUUUUCAUCCAUUUUGAUGACAAGUAAUUCCGGACGGAGGGAGUAUUAG
rnacentral:pre_miRNA from 1 species